rnacentral:rRNA from 1 species
GGGGCGGGGGCACCUACGGGAGGCAGCAGUGGGGAAUUGUUCGCAAUGGGCGCAAGCCUGACGACGCAACGCCGCGUGGAGGAUGAAGACCUUCGGGUCGUAAACUCCUUUCGAUCGAGACGAAUGGCUUCCGGGUGAACAAUCCGGGAGAAUGACGGUACCGAGAGAAGAAGCCCCGGCUAACUCCGGUGCCA